rnacentral:rRNA from 1 species
UACGUAGGGCGCAAGCGUUGUCCGGAAUUAUUGGGCGUAAAGAGCUCGUAGGUGGUUUGUCGCGUCUGUCGUGAAAGCCCGGGGCUUAACUCCGGGUCUGCGGUGGAUACGGGCAGACUAGAGGCAGGUAGGGGAGAACGGAAUUCCCGGUGUAGCGGUGAAAUGCGCAGAUAUCGGGAAGAACACCCGUGGCGAAGGCGGCACUCUGGGACGGUACUGACGCUGAGACGCGAAAGCGUGGGGAGCGAACAGG